rnacentral:rRNA from 1 species
UACGAAGGGGGCUAGCGUUGCUCGGAAUCACUGGGCGUAAAGGGUGCGUAGGCGGGUCUUUAAGUCAGGGGUGAAAUCUUGGAGCUCAACUCCAGAACUGCCUUUGAUACUGAAGAUCUUGAGUUCGGGAGAGGUGAGUGGAACUGCGAGUGUAGAGGUGAAAUUCGUAGAUAUUCGCAAGAACACCAGUGGCGAAGGCGGCUCACUGGCCCGGUACUGACGCUGAGGUGCGAAAGCGUGGGGAGCAAACAGG